AUGUGUACAAGGUUCCACAAAAUUAGUUUUGAAUUUGUUCGAAACUUUAAAAUAAGAUUUUAUUUUUAUUUUUUUUCAGAAAAAGGGGCACCAAGAUGCCCGAGCACUACAACUUCACGUCCUGGGCUCAGAGCCCAAAGCGGCAAGGACUGUGGGCCGACGUGUGCUGAGAAGCAACAGGAUUUCGUUGGAAAGACUGGGCCAGGGUCCAGGAUGCGGACGCGUCGGAUUCCAACGCCGGCCUUAUAUACAAGGUCGCCCUAUGUUUCCCGAUCGAUCGAUCCAGAUCUAGAAGGGGGAAACCACCACAGCAGAGAAGAAGAAUCAAGCCAGGCGAGCAGAGGAGAGGGAAGACAUGGAUGUGCGCGAGGGGACGCGGAGGAUGAGGGGUGCUUCCAUCCCUGCUCCGCUCGAGGGGGAUGGCGAGAGCCUGCUGCUGAUGUAUCUGCCUCAGCCGGCGCCGGCGUCGGCGUCGGCGGCGAUGAUGCCCACGCCGCCGCCCUCGUUGGAGGACUUCGAAGCUUUAGGAGAAGAUGGCAGGCUGUUGUGGCCGUCCAAAGAAUUGCUCAGGCAGAUGUUGGUGGCCAUCGCCCCGGCCGGAUCGAUUCCGCCCGCUGUCUAAUUAAUUACGAGUAG
rnacentral:rRNA from 1 species